rnacentral:rRNA from 1 species
GACGAACGCUGGCGGCGUGCUUAACACAUGCAAGUCGAACGGAAAUGCCCUGCUUUUGUGGGGUGCUCGAGUGGCGAACGGGUUAGUAACACGUGAGUAACCUGCCCUUGACUUUGGGAUAACUUCAGGAAACUGGGGCUAAUACCGGAUAGGAGCUCCUGCUGCAUGGUGGGGGUUGGAAAGUUUCGGCGGUUGGGGAUGGACUCGCGGCUUAUCAGCUUGUUGGUGGGGUAGUGUCUUACCAAGUCUUUGACGGGUAGCCGGCCUGAGAGGGUGACCGGCCACAUUGGGAAUGAGAUAAGGCCCAGAAUCCUACGGGAGGCAGCAGUGGGGAAUAUUGCAAAAUGGGCGGAAGCCUGAUGCAGCAACGCCGCGUGAGGGAUGACGGACUUCGGGUUGUAAACCGCUUACGCCUGUGACGAAGCGUGAGAGACGGUAAUGGGUAAAGAAGCACAGGCUAACUACGUG